rnacentral:lncRNA from 1 species
AAACUUAUAAAGGAACAAGGAAGAAGAAAAAAACUACCAUUGUUUAAUAAAAUUCGUCUGUAUUUUUAUGUAGCCUUGUGCAACACAAUAAACAUUGCGAAAAUACAAUAUCUUUUUUCACCAAUUUGUAGGUUGACACUGACUUCUCAAUAAUUUAUCCCCUUUACAAUUAUACGAUGAAAUAAUCGAACAUGUCAGUUCGAGUUGUAGAUUCAAAAUCAACAAGAGGCUGUCACAACGACAGCAAACCGGAUUUAUUAACAUUAAUUUGUGUCCUGGCAAUAUCACAAGA